UACGUAGGGGGCGAGCGUUGUCCGGAUUUAUUGGGCGUAAAGAGCUCGUAGGCGGUUUGGUAAGUUGGAUGUGAAAUCUCCAGGCUCAACUUGGAGGGGUCAUUCGAUACUACCAUGACUAGAGUUCGGUAGGGGAGUGUGGAAUUCCUGGUGGAGCGGUGAAAUGCGCAGAUAUCAGGAGGAACACCCGUAGCGAAGGCGGCACUCUGGGCCGGAACUGACGCUGAGGCACGAAAGCGUGGGGAGCAAACAGG
rnacentral:rRNA from 1 species